AGAAGGGACUCGUAUUACGCACACUCGAGACACGUUUUCAGUGCCAGUGUUUUACGACGCAGGAGCGAUGAGCCGUAUGAGCUGCCUCAUCGGAGCUGCCUUAAAAGCACACCUCCCGUCCGAUCUGUGCAUCCACUGCAGAACCAAGACUGGGUGGACGGAGCGCCCGUGGUCGGAGCAGAAACUUCCGUAGGAGAGGCUACUACUGUUGGGCGCGCACACUGCAUUGGCACCAACCAUGGGUCCAUCAGUGAAGAGCUCCGCGCUGCUUCUGCUAUCAGCACUCAUACUUCUGGCAAGCCUGUGGUGCCGGGUGGAAGGUCAGAUGCUCAUGCCUGGCAUGGGGUUCAUGCCAGGAAUGAUGGGUGGUAUGAUGCCUCCCUUCAUGGGCGGACCCAUGGCAAGGCUGCGCAUGAUGAGGCUCAUGGGUUGAAGCCCUCCUUUCAAUGGAGCUGCUCAUGCACCGUACCGGGAAUGAAUAA